rnacentral:rRNA from 1 species
GACGAACGUUGGCGGCGUGCUUAAUACAUGCAAGUCAACUGAAGCAGUGGUAGCAAUAUCGCUGUGGAGGUGGCGCACGGGUGAGUAACACGUAGGUAAUCUGCCUUCAGGUCUGGCAUAGCUCCGGGAAACCGGGGCUAAUAGCAGAUGAUGCAGCGGCUCGACAUCGAGACAGUUGUUAAAGCUAUGGCGCCUGAAGAUGAGCCUGCGUCUGAUUAGCUAGUUGGCGGGGUAACGGCCCACCAAGGCAACGAUCAGUAGCUGGUCUGAGAGGAUGACCAGCCACACUGGAACUGAGACACGGUCCAGACUCCUACGGGAGGCAGCAGUAAGGAAUAUUGCUCAAUGGGAGAAAUCCUGAAGCAGCAACGCCGCGUGAGGGACGAAGGGCUUUUGCUUGUAAACCUCUGUAGUGAGAGAAAAAAAUCCCAAUCUUUGGGACAUGAUGGUAUCUCAAAAGUAAGCCCCGGCUAACUACGUG